AUCGAGAAAAAAUUGUUAAAAUCUGAAAAUCUAUCAUGUUUUUCGUAUUUCUGUCGUAUUUGUCAAAAAUUGGAUUUUACGAUUAUAAUUUAAUAAUUUUUUAAUUAACCCUUUAAUUCCAAUUUAAUCCGAAUCAAAUAAUAAUUUUGUGAUCUUUGCAGCCCCAAAAAUUCAAGAAUACUUUGUCCGAAUUUGUCCGACUUGCUCUAUCGUGUUACACACUUCCUUCUGUGUCUACCCUUAUUUCUCGUUUACAGAUAACUUGGCCCACUAAAUUAUAAUUUGAGAAUGUUUGGCCCCUUCUAAAUAAUAUGAUUAUGCUGUUUUCCACACACAAAAUCCGAUAAAAAAGUUUUAUUAUAUAAGUUUUUCCAUUUAGAGUAACACACAACCAAUACUACGUUUGACCUUGACUGUCAAAGCAGAAGUCGGCUCUCUAGAUUUAUAGCGGGAACAACGUAUUUCCUCAAUCAGCUGAUCGUUUGUUUACAUUAUAAUUUAUAUUUUAUAACACAAAAAUUUAUAUAAUAAAGUAAUUUUUAUGUUAUCUGCAAUCGAUACAAAUAAUUAGUAGGCCUUUUACGUCACAAGUUUUCAAUUUUUAUAUUUUUUACCAUAUUUGGUGAAAAACUUUCCCCAGCUUUCGAUGUUGUUCAUUUGGUUUGGAUUUCGUCAUUUAUAGGGGUCAUAAAUUUAGUUCGAAGUUCGGAAUGCUUACCAUAUAUGGCAAACAUACGGGACCUCUAAUUUUUUCACGUCAGCAGUAACGUAGUAGUCCUCUUUCAGACAAUCAUUUUUACUUUGGAUAUUCUGCAGUGUACAUCUACAUCUGAGCUAUGUCAGACGACCAGGUACUGUGUUGUUCUAGGCAGUUGACCCGUCCUCGUAAACUGCCUAGAAUAUCGGAGGAGGAACUUGAGCAAUUUAUUCUUUCUGAUUCGGAAGACGGCAUCAGUGUAUAUGAGUUUCAUGAUGAUGAUGGUGAUGAUUAUUAUAUAGAGGAAGAGUCUGAAGAGACAGAUGGGAACACUUGGAAGAGAUACAGAAGUCGGGACGGAGAUUUGAAACGUU
rnacentral:lncRNA from 1 species